UCGGAUUAGUAGAUUUUUACUGUUUACAAACAAGUAUCAAGUGUUAAGAGCUCGGAAGUCGGAUUUGGUCGGAGACACAUCACACUGUCAACCUCAGGAUUUCGGUAUAUAAAGAAACUUUAUUUUGGAAAUCAAUGGCAUGUAUAAGCUAACAAAGUAAAUGUUAACGUGAAAUGAAUGUAAAGUUAGCCAUUAGUAUGGUUAACAAACCUGGUUAUAGAUAUGUGAUGACGUUAUUUUAUAUAAAUGCAUGAAUCUAUCAUGAAAA